rnacentral:rRNA from 1 species
GGGUAGUUUGACUGGGGCGGUCUCCUCCCAAAGAGUAACGGAGGAGCACGAAGGUUAGCUAAUCCUGGUCGGACAUCAGGAGGUUAGUGCAAUGGCAUAAGCUAGCUUGACUGCGAGCGUGACGGCGCGAGCAGGUGCGAAAGCAGGUCAUAGUGAUCCGGUGGUUCUGAAUGGAAGGGCCAUCGCUCAACGGAUAAAAGGUACUCCGGGGAUAACAGGCUGAUACCGCCCAAGAGUUCAUAUCGACGGCGGUGUUUGGCACCUCGAUGUCGGCUCAUCACAUCCUGGGGCUGAAGUAGGUCCCAAGGGUAUGGCUGUUCGCCAUUUAAAGUGGUACGCGAGCUGGGUUUAGAACGUCGUGAGACAGUUCGGUCCCUAUCUGCCGUGGGCGCUGGAGAAUUGAGGGGGGCUGCUCCUAGUACGAGAGGACCGGAGUGGACGCAUCACUGGUGUUCGGGUUGUCAUGCCAAUGGCACUGCCCGGUAGCUAAAUGCGGAAGAGAUAAGUGCUGAAAGCAUCUAA